rnacentral:rRNA from 1 species
UGAGGAAUAUUGGUCAAUGGGAGAGAUCCUGAACCAGCCAAGCCGCGUGAGGGAAGACGGCCCUAUGGGUUGUAAACCUCUUUUGUCGGAGAACAAAACCCGGGACGUGUCCCGGACUGCGUGUAUCCGAAGAAAAAGCAUCGGCUAACUCCGUGCCAGCAGCCGCGGUAAUACGGAGGAUGCGAGCGUUAUCCGGAUUUAUUGGGUUUAAAGGGUGCGUAGGCGGUCUGUUAAGUCAGCGGUAAAAUUGCGGGGCUCAACCCCGUCGAGCCGUUGAAACUGGCAGACUUGAGUUGGCGAGAA